CCUACGGGCGGCUGCAGUGGGGAAUAUUGGACAAUGGGCGAAAGCCUGAUCCAGCCAUGCCGCGUGUGUGAAGAAGGCCUUCGGGUUGUAAAGCACUUUCAGUGGGGAAGAAAGCCUUGGGGCUAAUACCCUCGAGGAAGGACAUCACCCACAGAAGAAGCACCGGCUAACUCCGUGCCAGCAGCCGCGGUAAUACGGAGGGUGCGAGCGUUAAUCGGAAUUACUGGGCGUAAAGCGCGCGUAGGCGGUCUGAUAAGCCGGUUGUGAAAGCCCCGGGCUCAACCUGGGAACGGCGUCCGGAACUGUCAGGCUAGAGUGCAGGAGAGGAAGGUAGAAUUCCCGGUGUAGCGGUGAAAUGCGUAGAGAUCGGGAGGAAUACCAGUGGCGAAGGCGGCCUUCUGGACUGACACUGACGCUGAGGUGCGAAAGCGUGGGUAGCAAACAGGAUUAGAUACCCGAGUAGUC
rnacentral:rRNA from 1 species